GAGUCCUGUGUUUGGAGCACCAGAAAUAAACCAGCUUCAGAAGCAAACUCCCUCCCACCUCUAUUCUUCCUUUAGCCAAGAAGUACGGAUGGAUGAGAUUCUCCUCAGAGUUUUGGGACCGGGAAGAAUGAAGCUGUGGCUGUCAAAAAUGCCUGGUGGACCUAGCGGAUGACACCUAGACAGCAUGUUUGCUGCUGUCCUCUAUGCUGACCAAGCCUCUCCUCUGCAGAUUAAAACCCCUCCGGAUCAGAGCUAGCUCUAAACAGCACCUUGUCGGUUGAGAUUUUGAGCAACAGGGUCCUGCAAGGUGGGCAUAUUUGGCAGCCUGAAGGAGAGGUAGAAUAUUUGCCUAACCCCACAGCUAGUAAACCCAGGACAAAUGCAUCGGCAGCUUCUCAAGGCCAGGGAGAGAGAGCACACAUCUUGCCCUAGGAAAUUCACAGACACGCUGAAAUUUGAUGGGAACUGAUCUAGCCAAAUAGGAGGAGAUCAAUUGUUUGCUAGAAUCAACAGAUCUUCCUGUUUAGUUGCUCAGUAAAAUAUCCUUGCCUCUGGGCACAAUGCACCAAGCUGGAGGAUGCCAUCAAGGAGAAGUUCUUUGCCUGAUCUCAUUGACUUUUGAGCACUUUAAGCCUAAAGGGAGCAGGAACAAGAAGCGAGAGGAAAAGGUGAAGGUUAAAGAGAACUAUUUCGGAGAUAAUAAACUCCUUCUGAAUCCUGCCAAGGCUGGCUGCGCUGUUGUCUCAGAGGGAGAAGAAUAUCAACAUGGACUCCUGCCUGUGGUCUUGAAAUAGGCAAGUCACCAAGGGACAAAGACUGUUCUGUGAGUUUGGGCUCCCUGGGGCAGCUGUUCCUGAGCUGUUACAAUGGCCCUGGCACCAGACACUGAUUCAGAGUUUUGUGGGGAGCCCAGGACAAAUUCUCACUAUUUAAACUAAGACAAGUCCAAGGCUGAAUGCCCUGUCCAUGC
rnacentral:lncRNA from 1 species